rnacentral:rRNA from 1 species
UACGCGUGGGAAUCUGCCCUUAGGUACGGAAUAACUCAGGGAAACUUGAGCUAAUACCGUAUAAUGACUCCGGUCCAAAGAUUUAUCGCCUAGGGAUGAGCCCGCGUCGGAUUAGCUAGUUGGUGAGGUAAAGGCUCACCAAGGCGACGAUCCGUAGCUGGUCUGAGAGGAUGAUCAGCCACACUGGGACUGAGACACGGCCCAGACUCCUACGGGAGGCAGCAGUGGGGAAUAUUGGACAAUGGGCGAAAGCCUGAUCCAGCAAUGCCGCGUGAGUGAUGAAGGCCUUAGGGUUGU